ACGCGCAAUUUCUUUGGCGGCUAUGGUUAUACCUGCUAAUUCCGUUUGUAGCAUGCACAUCCAUAAAAUAAUUUGUCCUAUUACCUGAUUCGCACAAACAUCUCAUUUUUUUGUUUUAAAAUAUUUAAUAUUGCGACGAUAUUGCACAAGAAAGGCAUUUAAGGGAAAAUCUACUGGAAAGGACAAUCUUUUUGUGUUAAUUAAACACUUGAAGCAUAUUCCUACAUACAGUUCUCAUAAUAUUUCGUUUGUUCAUAAUUUUCGAGAU